rnacentral:rRNA from 1 species
GGGUAGUAUAGCAAUAUAUGAGACCGGCGCACGGGUGCGUAACGCGUAUGCAACCUACCUUUUACAGGGGAAUAGCCCAGAGAAAUUUGGAUUAAUGCCCCAUAGUAUAAUUGAAUGGCAUCAUUUGAUUAUUAAAGUUCCAACGGUAAAAGAUGGGCAUGCGUCCUAUUAGCUAGAUGGUAAGGUAACGGCUUACCAUGGCUACGAUAGGUAGGGGUCCUGAGAGGGAGAUCCCCCACACUGGUACUGAGACGCGGACCAGACUCCUACGGGAGGCAGCAGUGAGGAAUAUUGGACAAUGGGCGCAAGCCUGAUCCAGCCAUGCCGCGUGCAGGAAGACGCAUCUAUGGUGUGUAAACUGCUUUUGUACGGGAAGAAACACUCCCUCGUGAGGGAGCUUGACGGUACCGUAAGAAUAAGGAUCGGCUAACUCCGUGCCAGCAGCCGCGGUAAUACGGAGGAUCCAAGCGUUAUCCGGAAUCAUUGGGUUUAAAGGGUCCGUAGGCGGUUUAAUAAGUCAGUGGUGAAAGCCCAUCGCUCAACGAUGGAACGGCCAUUGAUACUGUUAGACUUGAAUUACAAGGAAGUAACUAGAAUAUGUAGUGUAGCGGUGAAAUGCUUAGAUAUUACAUGGAAUACCAAUUGCGAAGGCAGGUUACUACUUGUGGAUUGACGCUGAUGGACGAAAGCGUGGGGAGCGAACAGGAUUAGAUACCCUGGUAGUCCACGCCGUAAACGAUGGAUACUAGCUGUUCGGAGCAAUCUGAGUGGCUAAGCGA